CAGGAGGUACAGAACCUGGAGCUGAAAUCUUGAUGGGCCCCAACAGACAUGCAUGCCUAGCUGAUGAUUCUCCUCACCUCUCUCUUAACCUGAGGACUCCUGGGCCAUUUGGACUACCACAAGUGCAUCAUUAAUCUUACGACUGAGGCAAGGAAUUAUUAAAAUCCCUAACAAAGAAAGAAGUUGUCAAAGAAUAUCUUGUAUCAUUGGACCUUGGACUGUUGGACUCCCAGGUUUCAACAUUAUUCAGAUGCUUGCAGCAAAGUGAGUACAUCUUUUUCGCUCCACCCUGCAGCUGGCUUGGUUCUGACUGGAACCGUGGGCUGAGUCCAAAGGCUUGUUUUCGUUAGAGUCAUGAUGGCUAAUGCUGAGAACACAGCCCCAUGGUUUUACCUCAACAGCCACGUUUUUCUCAAGGAAUGUGAAGAAAGCUGUUUCCUGCUGCUUAAAGAAUGUGAUUACCUCAUUCAAAACUGACUGUCCAACCUGCCUCAGGCCUUCUAAGCCCGUCAGACAGACACAUUUCUCACCAUGACUUGGGUCUUCCUCAUUUGCUCAUGACCUGCAUUUUUCCCAAUCUGGUCUACAACAGACAUGGAACCCUUGGCUCUAUGAUUCUCAGCGUCUCUCUGCCAUCAGGCAUUUUGGACUUGACCCUGCUUUAGUCUCCCUGUCACUGACAUUGCAAUUAUUCCUAUCAAACGAUAGCUGGUCUCAUCCUAUGGUUCUCUGUCUUUUGGGGUGCAAUGAAUGGGAAAAUGUUUCCUGGUUCCAGGCUCAAUCCUAGUGGCUUUAAGAUGUUUUUGGCUACAAGUAACAGAAACUUGAACUCAAAUUGACCUACAUAAUACAAAGACAGUAUUGGCGCAGUAACGAAAAACUACAGUGAUAGAGGAAGCUUUGGUGACCCAGUGACAACACCAAAGAUACAGCUUCUCCUCCUCUUCUCUUCUAUGGUGCCUGCUUCACCCUAAGGCUCACUCUCUUCAUGUUUGCAAAAUGGCUGGAAGCAGCUUUAGGGACUGCUUGUUUCCUCAAUUAUGUCCAGCAGGAAGUGGGAAAAAAAAAUCUCUCUCCCAAUAGCUCUCUCAGAAGUGAAACAUCUUUUUUUCCAAAAGUCUCUGGAAAGAGUUUCUCUUGAUUCAUUGGUCUGAAUUGGGUUGUGUGUUCUAAACCAAGCGCUGUGGCCUGGCGAUGAAGUAUGUUGAUUGAAGAUCAGCUAAUCAGAACCUAGGACUAUGCUUAUGGAGUGAGGUCUCCUCCCAGAGCAUGUAGGCUGGUAGAAGAGGCAUGAUACCUGUGCUCUGUUUGACCUUCACCUUUGCUCCACUCUCUGCCCUAAGAAGCUAACUCUUCAGAAUGCAUCACUCCAGCUUUUUGAUUUCUGACUUAUAGCUGAAUUUGAUCUUGGGAACACCAACAGAAGAUCAGAGGGUGGAGAGAAAACUGGAUCAGGACAACUAUUUCCCCAGCUGGCUCCUUGCCUUGCUGUGGUUCUGACAGUGGCUGUGUUCCUCUAGAAGGGCGACUCCACUUGGGCCACCCUUCCAGCUCCAGCUCUUGCCAGGCUCUGUACAAUACCUGAAUGAAAAUUGAGAAAUUACUACCCAGAAGAAAGGAGAACGGACACUAGGUAGCCAAAAAAACAGCAAAUGUGUACCAUGAUCCACUACGGAUUACAUAGGUUCACAACAGUGUUAUGGCGGGAGCAGGGAGGCACCUACAUCCAUUGGACCCAUCCUGACAGCUGGGAAGGAUGUGUCCAGCCACCCAGGGAUGUGCAUCUGGCACCCACCUCACAACAGCUGUUCUAACCACGUAAGAAGCACAAGGGUCACCGGUUACUCUCCAUGAGAACAAAAGGCCAAGGAUGCAGAGAUAAUUGCAUCAAAGGGAUUCAACUUCCUGGAUGACCUCAUUCCAAAGAUCUGCAGAGCCCAGAUAAGCAUCCCAGGGUUCUGGCAGAGGGCCCCUCCAGGGACAGGAAGGGGACAGGAAGCCGGCUUUCCGUGUCUGUACCGCCUUCCUUGGGAAGGAUAGGACACCUGUGGCCAUCAAGUCAUGAUGCCCCAUGCUGUCUCCCGCCAACUCCACAAGAAAGGCAAAUGAGUGUCACAUCGCCCCCAGAGUCAUGACUCUGCUGAUCCCACAUGGGCCCCAUAGAGGGCUUUUCCUUCUAGGUCUUCACCAUAGAUUUCUCAUAUUUUCAUUUAAACAGAUUUGUAUGUAAUUCUUGAAUGUUUCCUUUCUUUCAUAUUCUCAAAAAAUACAUUAAGACUAGUAAGAAUAGGUAAAAAAAAAUUGGUACAUCUCAGAAGAUAAUAUGUGAGACUAAUAGCUAUAGUUUGCAAUAAAGAAAAUUAAAUGAGGUUUCUAAGCACUUAUGUAUUUAUUCUCUAAAUGUUUUUGAGCCCUUUCUAUGCCAGACACAACUCCAAGUCCAGAGACGGAAAGAUAAAAUGUUCCUUAUGCUCGAAGAGCACAUAGAUUUGUUAGAAGUCAUAGAUACUUAAACAAAUGAUUAUAUAAUAAGUUCUACAAUGUAAUUUUAUCCUUGGGAAUUCUGCUAAUAUUACAAGGAAUAAUAAAUAGUCAAAAUAAGAGUCCUUUAUCAAAAUUUAUUUUUAUACUGCUCAGUUUUGCCCUAGAAUUUGUUAAUUUAUUCAAUAUUCUC
rnacentral:lncRNA from 10 species